ACCUGGCUGGCUUAGUCAGUAGAGCAUGUGACUCUUGAUCUCAAGGUUGUGAGUUUGAGCCCCAUGUUGGGCA
rnacentral:tRNA from 1 species